CAGACCUGGUUUCAGUUCAGGCAGAGAUCGGGGGCAAACACACAACCCAAAUCGGGGGUUUCUAUUCAAAGCCAGCUGGUCUGGCUUUAUUACAUGCAGGACAUUUAUUUUAAGAAGUUUGUUGGUCAUUUUUUUUUUUUUUUGUUUGUUUUCUUUUUUUUGUCAACUAUCUCUUUUGUUUUGUUCUCUUUUGAAACAUUUUUAACAGUUUGAGCUGGGCCUCAGCUGGUGCUGCAGGGUGUAACUUCCUGGGGAAGCAGAGAAAAAGGCACGGGUGCCAACCGAAGACAACCUCAAGCAUUGCGAAAGGACCUCUCCAAUGAACUGCUGACAGCCAACGAAGAAAGCUUCGAGAGCGAGAACGGAAGACGAAAGACGAAGGAACACUGAACGUGGUACAGAUGCUGGACUCA